rnacentral:rRNA from 1 species
GAUGAACGCUGACAGAAUGCUUAACACAUGCAAGUCAACUUGAAUUUGGGUUUUUAACUUAGAUUUGGGUGGCGGACGGGUGAGUAACGCGUAAAGAACUUGCCUCACAGCUAGGGACAACAUUUAGAAAUGAAUGCUAAUACCUGAUAUUAUGAUUUUAAGGCAUCUUAGAAUUAUGAAAGCUAUAAGCACUGUGAGAGAGCUUUGCGUCCCAUUAGCUAGUUGGAGAGGUAACAGCUCACCAAGGCGAUGAUGGGUAGCCGGCCUGAGAGGGUGAACGGCCACAAGGGGACUGAGACACGGCCCUUACUCCUACGGGAGGCAGCAGUGGGGAAUAUUGGACAAUGGACCGAGAGUCUGAUCCAGCAAUUCUGUGUGCACGAUGAAGUUUUUCGGAAUGUAAAGUGCCUUCAGUUGGGAAGAAAUAAAUGACGGUACCAACAGAAGAAGUGACGGCUAAAUACGUGCCAGCAGCCGCGGUAAUACGUAUGUCACGAGCGUUAUCCGGAUUUAUUGGGCGUAAAGCGCGUCUAGGUGGUUAUGUAAGUCUGAUGUGAAAAUGCAGGGCUCAACUCUGUAUUGCGUUGGAAACUGUGUAACUAGAGUACUGGAGAGGUAAGCGGAACUACAAGUGUAGAGGUGAAAUUCGUAGAUAUUUGUAGGAAUGCCGAUGGGGAAGCCAGCUUACUGGACAGAUACUGACGCUAAAGCGCGAAAGCGUGGGUAGCAAACAGG